rnacentral:rRNA from 1 species
CGUCUAUAUACGUAUAGCAUAUCAAUAAGCGGAGGAAAAGAAACUAACAAGGAUUCCCUUAGUAACGGCGAGUGAAGCGGGAAGAGCUCAAAUUUGAAAUCUUCAAGGUUCUACCUUGACGAAUUGUAGUUUAUAGAAGUGUUUUCUGUUAGUGGAGUGGCAAAAGUUCUUUGGAAUAGGACAUCAUAGAGGGUGAGAAUCCCGUAUUUGGUCAUUCCUCCUAGCGUUGUGAUACACUUUCAACGAGUCGGAUUGUUUGGGAAUGCAGUCCAAAAUGGGUGGUAAAUUUCAUCUAAAGCUAAAUAUUGGCGAGAGACCGAUAGCGAACAAGUACCGUGAGGGAAAGAUUGAAAAGAACUUUGAAAAGAGAGUUAAACAGUACGUGAAAUUGUCAAAAGGGAAGCGUUUGACACCAGUGUUGUUUUUCCGGAAAUCAAUUACGAAUGUUUUGUUUUUGAGGAGUUAUGACUUCAUCGGCUUGCUCCUUUCUUUACGAAACUUUCUUAAUGCACUUUUCGGUUAACAAGUCAACAUCAAUUUCUUUUGUUGUAAAAGGGUAUGAGGAAGGUGGCUUUCUUUUCGGAGAAAGUGUUUAUAGCCUUGUGCCUCUGCAAUCGGAGAGAUUGAGGUCUGCAGCGUAGAUCCUUCGGGGUUAGAUACGUUUGUGCUAAGUUAUAGCUUUUCAUAGACAACUUGUUGACUAUGUUUAGUCUUGUAGCUUACUCGCUUACGCUAUUUUACCUACGCUUAGGAUGUUGACGAGACUGUCGAUCUC